GUGGACGAGGACGAGCCGCCGCCGCCGCCGCUGCCGGCCAAGCAAGGCCGGCAGAUGUCGUCGUUUGAGGAGCCGGCGGAGAACGGCUGGCGCGCCACGCCUGCACCGAGCGAGGUGGUGACGGCGACGGCCGCCGACUCGCCGCCGGCCUCGCCGCCGCCCAGGCCGCCGCCGCCGCCGCCCAAACGCUCGGCCUCGGUGGACUCGCUACUCUGAAGAGACCCCCUCCCCGCCGCUUCCAAGGCUUUCCAGCAGGGACGCUGCGUCGUCGGGCGCCCGGGCAGCGCUGAGGGCGCCGCGCCUCUCCGGCCGGAGGCCUUUGGCGACCCGCCAUCGGACGAGGUGUGACAAAAGACAGCAGUGGCGGCCGGCGUCUGCCUGCCCCGGCACGGCACGCGGUGCCUCUGUGUUACUUUGACGAGCUUCUGCCGCGCCUUUGUAUUAGCGCCCAUGCAGCACACUGAUUCUGAUUAUUCGUCAUAGCAUGUGCUAGAUAUAGCGGGCUUUUAUCUGACCUUGCGGCCUGUGCGUCAGCCGAUGUGAGAUUAUUGCAUUCAUUCCGUCUGGUGUGUAUUCAGCCGGUGUCCAUGUCUAUUGAGUUGUAUGUAGCUAGGGUGAGUACCGGACGGCUUGAGGGCGACCGAUACCGGGACAGAAUGUCCUCUCACAGUGUGAGCCCGCGCUCUGCGCCGAGCAACCUUUCAUACUCGAGCUGCCAUAUGUGACCGUGGCCAGUGGCUUGCGCACGUGCGCGUGUGAGUCGGUGCGCGGGGGCGGGCGCGGGGCGCGCGGCCGGUGCGCCGGGCGCCCCGGCCCGCGGCUGGCGCACGUCUAGUCUGUUGAACCUAAGUCAGAUCCGGCCGUCGGACAGAGGCGAGGCGCGGGCCCCUACGCCGGCGCGCAGACGUCGCACAAACUGGGCUGUUCCGAGGGACCAGGCGUGUUGAGCUUUGUGAUCGCUUUGCCAUGUUUUUAUAUCGUUUUGCGCGCCCUGUGCUGGGCUUCCGUGGCAUCUGCCACACCAGGGCAUGAUUGCGGGCUGUUGCAUGGCUCAGCCUACAAAUCCAGUAUCCCACCGACCAACGGCACGAUCCUCAUAUGAGUACCUAUAUAGCAUGGCCGGCAUUGUAGCUUCGGGUUGUGUCGCAGCGCAUUUGUAGGAUUAGACAUUCGAUGUACUGUUUUUCGGUACAAAUCAACAAAUCUAAUAAACAAAUGUUUCGGUGCGUGGACAGCGUACAUUGAAUACAGCUGAGUUUAGCA